CCAGCCUCUAGUAGCGGUCUCAUUAACAGCCGCUAGAGGCGCUUGCAUGCUUCUCACUGUGAUUUUCACAGUGAGAAGACGCCAGUGUCCAUAGGAAAGCAUUGUGAAUGCUUUCCUAUGGACUGGCUGAAUGCGCGCGGCUUGUGCUGCGCAUGUGCAUUCAGCUGAUGAUGAUUAGGAGAGUCCCCCGCCCGUUGCUGGAGUAAGAG